UACGUAGGGGGCAAGCGUUGUCCGGAUUCAUUGGGCGUAAAGAGCGUGUAGGCGGCCAGGUAGGUCGGUUGUGAAAACUGGAGGCUCAACCUUCAGAGGUCGACCGAAACCAUCUGGCUAGAGUCCGGGAGAGGAGAGUGGAAUUCCUGGUGUAGCGGUGAAAUGCGCAGAUAUCAGGAAGAACACCCGUGGCGAAAGCGGCUCUCUGGAACGGUACUGACGCUGAGACGCGAAAGCGUGGGGGAGCGAACAGGG
rnacentral:rRNA from 1 species